GGUCUCAGGGCUGGGCUGACAAGUGUUCAUACUACACCAGGAAGAAUUACCGACUCCUGUGUUUUGUUGGAACAUGACACCUGCUUGCUGUAAAACUCAAACAAUUCAGAGAUACAUAAAGGGGAAUUCAUCCCCACUAAGCAGAUCUAAGCAGAAUGACCAGGUUCCUCUCUGUUCCUAGUCCAGGCACAUGAGCUUCAUGCCCCAUUCUUGGUUGGGAGCUGGUCUCAAAGAAGAGGCCUCUGACUGCCUGGGAAUAGACCUUUUUACUACUACUGUCCAGAGAGAGGAUUCUGGGCCCAGAUACCUGGAGGAUGACACAAAACGAAAAUCAAACACAAUGGACAGCCUGAAGAGAAGAAAGGGCCUCUCUCAUAGUCCUGGGGCUGAAGAAUACAAGAUGAAGGUUUGUGUGGGUUGGGCAUCACCUGAG
rnacentral:lncRNA from 1 species